AACAUUGAUUUCUUCAGAAACAUAACAAUUAUUUCACAUACUGAUGUCAAUUUAUAAAAAUCUAUAUGUCUCAGGCUUCAUAUUAAAAUAUCUUUUUUGAUCAUAUGUUUCUUUUUCCAGAAUGAAACAAGAAUGUGUCCAUAGUACACGGAUGCCCCACUCGCACUAUCAUUUUACAUGUUCACUGGACCGUGAAAUUGGGGUCAAUACUUU
rnacentral:lncRNA from 1 species